GCACACCCCGCGUAGUUUUCAUGUUUUACGAUCUGCACACAUAAAAAAUGAGACUUUGAGAGACGGUAGCAGAUGGAAGUCCUUUCUCCUUCCUCUUUUUUAUAUAUAUGAUUCUUUUAUUUUUCCACACGGUGGCGGCAUAUUUUAUAGCAUUUUUAUGUGGUCAUAGUUUUCGAUUUGGUCUUGAUGCCCUUUUUUAUGAUCGUUUUAUAACUUGUUUGCAUUAGAAAAGUGAAUAAACGUAAAUGCUGGGAAACGUUUUAUGCAAAAAUCUAUUUAAACGAUGGCACAAUGCAUUAAACUCACAAUAAAUGCAAAAAACUCUAGUCCCAUAUAGCGAAUUAACUUGGCAGCUGACACACAGUUAUGGUUAUAUCUACUUACAUAUAUAUUCGUGUACACUUGAGUGAGGCGAAAUGAUUUUAGAUCGGUUAUUUACGAUUGAGCCAUGUUAAAAAUCUAAACACUCACAAAUGAAACUAAAAUGGGAAUAACAAAUUUAUUGUCAAAGAUCUUAAUCAUCUUAAUAAUAAUACAAAUCGAUCAAUCAAACAGUAAGAGUAUAGAAAAAAGCAUUGAAAGGAUAAUGGAACAAAUGAGCAAUAAUAUAAAAGCCAGCCAAAGCCCCAGUGAACAGCAAAGCAGAAAAAUUCUCAACCAAUUUAAACUGUUGGGUAACUAUAUUGCCAAGGAGGCUAAAGGAAACAAUCUGGCCUCAAGUCAAGGACUAUCCAUAGUCAUUGAUUUCUCUAGACCAAAGCAUAAAAACAGAUUAAGUCACCCUAUAAACGGUUUAUGAGAAAAAAUUAAAUGACCAUUUGAACAGUUGAUAAUAUUAAUAAAUUUUUAAAUAUUUUGGCAUGUAAAUAAACUAUUUGAACAUUAUAAAUUAGCAAAAUAAAUUGAGGUAUACAUCUAAUCAUUCUGUAACAAAAACCAA